CCUGAACUCAUACAUAUGUAUACACAUACAUAUAUACAUAUAUAUGGAUCACAUAUGCAUAUACACAUACAACAUAUAUUUCAAUAUAUUUUAUAAAUUGUUACAGGUAAAUAAACAUAUCAAUAAAAUCUUUAAAAUUCAAGAAGAGAAGGAAGGAAAACCACAAUCUAGCAAUUCAAAUAUUCAAACAGGAGGUAAUUUUAAGACACUCAAAAAUUAAAUCAUUCAAUUUGUAGAGGCAAACUACACAGGAAGAAAAUAUUGGUUCAUUUGCUGAUGAAAUCAGCAUUUUGUGCGCCAACAUUUCCUUGGCAGAAAGUAACACACCCUAUCAUUGAAGAAGUUAUUGUUCCAUUAAGGAAGUCAGGUUUUAAGACAUUUUUACUGUAUCAGUCUGAGUUCUUGAGAGAAACAAACAGGAUAUAUUGAUAUCUACAGAAAAAGAUUUAUUAUGAGACAUUGGUUCACACAGUUAUGGAGGCUGAGAAGUCCCGUGAUCCACUGUCCACAAACUGGAGGCCCAGGGAAGCAGGUGCUAUGGUUCCAGUUCCAAUCUGAAUCCCAGAGAACCAGAAGAGCCAAUGGUAAACUGGACAUAGAAAUCACAUAUGUGAGGUACAUUUUAUGAAGAAAACUGAAAAUAAGCUCAUCUAUCAGCCAUUCAAAUCUGGAAGCCUAACUGUCAUAUAUUCAAGAAUGAAAGGCAACUCCUUCUAUUUUUGAAAGCCACAAAUGAAUAAACUCGCUCUCUACAAAGAGUGGAGGGACCUGGAUGAUGAAGUAGGUGGCUCCUGAACUCCCCUGCUCCCACAAAUGCACCAAAUUUACACCAACACAUACAGCAACCCCCUCUGAGAGAAAUCCAGAAACCAGGUAUGUAGCCCGGCUGAAAUAAGAUAACAUACAAAAGUUCUCUGGCAAGUAUAAAGUGCUCUGCUACUACCACACGAGGAGGCUCUUUGCCAGGAGUCAACAAUGCUUGUGUUCUUGGGAAGAGAAAAGACUGUUGCCAUGUCACAUCUACCUUGUUAUAGUUGCAGAAUAUAAAUCCUUAUUUCUGGAUUGACACCACCUACUGAAGAUAGUUGUUAAGAAAGAUUAUCAAAUUGUGAAGAACUGUUAACACACAAUAAAAUGCUACAAAAAAUUACCAUUUAAAGCAUGAGAGUCAAGAGGAACUAGACUGAGGGAUUCCAGAGAAGAGACUGAGAAAAAUCUUACCUCUUUGAAUAAAUUUGUAGCCAUAUUUAAAUAGCAUAAAUUUCUUCAAUAAAGUUAUUUUUUUUU